AUUGAACGCUGGCGGCAUGCCUUACACAUGCAAGUCGAACGGUAACAGGUCUUCGGAUGCUGACGAGUGGCGAACGGGUGAGUAAUACAUCGGAACGUGCCUAGUAGUGGGGGAUAACUACUCGAAAGAGUGGCUAAUACCGCAUGAGAUCUACGGAUGAAAGCAGGGGAUCGCAAGACCUUGUGCUACUAGAGCGGCCGAUGGCAGAUUAGGUAGUUGGUGGGAUAAAAGCUUACCAAGCCGACGAUCUGUAGCUGGUCUGAGAGGACGAUCAGCAACACUGGGACUGGGACACGGCCCAGACUCCUACGGGAGGCAGCAGUGGGGAAUUUUGGACAAUGGGCGCAAGCCUGAUCCAGCAAUGCCGCGUGCAGGAUGAAGGCCUUCGGGUUGUAAACUGCUUCUGUACGGAACGAAAAGCCCUGGGUUAAUACCCUGGGGUCAUGACGGUACCGUAAGAAUAAGCACCGGCUAACUACGUGCCAGCAGCCGCGGUAAGAC
rnacentral:rRNA from 1 species